rnacentral:tRNA from 1 species
AGGGUUACAGUUUAACAUUAAACAUUUAAUUUGCAAUUAAAAGAAAACUAAUAGUUUAGCCUGA